UGUCCUCUAGGCCUCAGAGAGAGAAGCUCAUGCAGGAAGUGGCCUCCACCUUCAAUGGCAAGCUCAAAAUCUUUGUAAGUAUUCAAUAGUGCUAAAAGCAUUUUUUUGUUUGUUUCCGAAGAUAUUCCUCAGCCGACAGACAUGAGACUAAUCCCUCAAGGCUCAGAGAUCAUGUUAAGUGGAGUGGGUAGGUCUCUCCCAACAAAUGAUUUUCCAUAGGCACUGCCUAGGGUUCAAACCCUGAACUAAAUGUUUAAGGAUUCUAACUAUCUACUAAUUGUACUACACCUUUUUGAUAGUGCUAAAAGCAUAAAAAAGGGCUUGGAGAAAGCCAUUAGAUUGUGUUUGUAGAUCUAUUCAGAAGAUUGUGGAACUCUGAUACCUUGAAUUUGGCAUGAUCACUGGAACUUAGACUACAUUUAGAUAUAUGAUGCAAGUGGAAUGGAAUGGAAAGGAUAGAAGAUAGUGGAAUGAAAAAUAACUGGAAUGAAAAAAAAAUACCAUUUUAUUGUUUGGAUAGUUUAAGGAUGAUAUUGACUUUUUGCAUGCCAUUCUCUAUGAAUCGGAGGGUAUGAAAAAAUGGAGCAUUGCUUUCAAAAUAGCCUCCUUUCAUCUAAUUUACCUGUCACGAAUCAUAAAUAUGCAUGACAUUGUGCUUCAGAUAAACAAUGUAGGAACAAACUUUAGAAAGCCAACAGUUGAGUACACUGCUGAAGAAUAUUCAGAGCUGAUGACUGUUAAUUUAGACUCUGCAUUCCAUCUGUGCCAACUUGCCCAUCCUCUUCUAAAAGCAUCUGGGGUGGGCAGCAUCGUGUUCAUUUCAUCUGUUGCAGGAGUGGUGAGCUUGGGUACUGGAUCUGUCUAUGCAGCAUGUAAAGGUGAGUACUGCACUCAUCAGGUCUUCUGUCUCAUAUAGAUAUGAUUUAAUAAAAUGUUAGCAUGAGCAAAGAGAGGCAAUAAUAUUUUGUCCACUGAUUUUUCAGCUGCAAUUAAUCAGCUUACAAAGAAUCUGGCUUGUGAAUGGGCAAAAGACAACAUAAGGAGCAAUUGUGUUGUGCCAUGGGCAACCAGAACCCCACUUGUAGAACAUGUAAUUUUCUUGUUCUCUACCUUUCUUCAUCUUUGCUGUUUCCCCUUCUAAGUGAAGCAUUAAAAAAAAACUAUUUAUUGCAUAUUUGGACACACCGUGGAAAAGCAGGAUGAAGCCAAAAUCACAAUGGACAGAAGCAACUUCUCUUAGCUUUUGCUUGUCCACCUUGAUUUUGGCCUCACUGUGCUAUUCUAUCGUGGAUCCAAACAUAUAGACAAGACAUUAGCUAACCAUCCAAACCUGCAGAAUUGCGAAAGAAGCACUGAGCUAAUUUUACCACUUUCAUAACUUUAUACAGACAUUUUCUAUGUCUACUCAUCAUUGCUUCACCAAAAUAUUAGCAUGUUAAUAUGUCAUAUACAAUGAACUCCCAAAAUUAAUACCAAUUUAAAUAUGUCUACAUAGUACCAAACCACUGAUCCCAACAUGCUAAGCUUUUAGAAUCUAGAAGGUCUGUUAUUUUUGCUAUCACAGUAUUUCCUGCAUUAUGCACUGAGGGUCUGCUUUCAAAUUUCAACAGUUAUAAAAGAAAUUGUACUUAUAAGCUUUCUUUCACCACCACCUCUUUUAUGGAUAGGCAGUAGCAUGGGUGGAAUAAUAUAUAGUGUUUCUCUAUGCCAUUAUGUUUAAUCCACAAUAUAGAUUUUGAAGUCAAUAUUGGACAACCAACCUAGUAGAAUUUUAUAGUUUUUCUACUUCGAAUUUAUAUGACCAUUGUAUUGAGAUAAUCAGAUUUUUAUUCAUUACAUGUAUGUGCAUCAUCAUUAAGCAAAUAUUUGUAUUCAAUGUUUUAGCAAUUUGAAUUUUGAAUUCUUAAAUUGUUUACUCCAACCUUUUUCUUUUUUGUAGUUGUUUCAAAACCAAAAGUUUGUGGAUGAUAUCAUGUCUCGAACCCCUCUUAAGCGCAUUGCAGAACCCGAAGAAGUGUCAUCGUUGGUGGCUUUCCUUUGUUUGCCUGCUGCGUCUUACAUCACUGGACAGGGUAUUUGUGUUGAUGGAGGACUAACAGUGUAGGGAUUUCAACCCAGCAUGAGAAUCACCUGAAAUUCUGUAUUUGUUAGUCUAAGUGGAAUAAAUUAUUCUCAUUUUGUUUCAACUCUGCUGGUAGCUGUAUCAGUAUGUGACAAACCUUGAUCUGCAAUUAUGUUUUCUUUUUCUUUUGAUAUGAGAAUGGUUUGUUGUAGUUAACUCAUGAAGUGUUUAUUCUUGAACUGCUUGUUCUUUUUAGUUCUUUUGUGCACUUCUUCUCCCUUCCAUUUUUCUUUUUCAUCAAUUAGCUUCUUUUUUCUGACACAUGCACAGCUUUCUUUCAUUGUUUUCUGGUUACUUUAGUUGUAGGUACUUUCUGAUUGAUUCAGCAAGUGAAAAUGUGAGUUUUUGAGAGGCUUUGCGACUAUGCUUCAGAUUGAGUCCCUGUGAAAGAGUGGGAAUAGUUGAAGUUGCAAUAAGAAAAAAAAACAAAAGAGUAUGUGUAGCAUUAGCAUACGAACCAGAAAUAGAGGUAGAGGAGGGUGUCGACCUUGAGAGAUGAUUGCGAUGAAGUUUGGAAGUGGAUCAGACAUUAAGAAUGAGAACAAAAGCCAUUCCUUACGAACUGCGACAACAAACAACCAUGUGGUCAUGUGGAUGUGGAUAAAGUCACACGUGGGAUAUAUCAUCCACAUUAAUUUUUGUUGAGAAAAGCAGAAACACAGUGAGAUUUUGUUUUAGCCCCCUGCUCAAGUAAAGUUGAAAAAACAUCCAUGCGGUUAGAGAUAUAACAAGGUUUAAUCAUUGUCCGAACUGAAGUUCCGGUCGCUUUGUCUGAUAUGACACAUCCAUAUGUAUAAAUGGAGCUGAGUGACAACCAAAAGUAAUUAUCUAAAUUUUAAGUCCCAUCUGUGUAAUUAAUAAUUAAAAGUAAAUUCUAAAUUAAAAGUAAAAACUAAGAAAAAACCCUUAAUCUUUAAUUAACUAAACUAAUCUAAUUCCAAAAUUACCUAAAUAAAACCUACUCUAAAUCCCUCUUCCUUAUCUAAUUAAAUAUGUUUUUGGAUGCUUUCACAGAAUAAUGACAAGCAUGUGAUGCACAAGAGUAAAAUAUAGACAUGACUUUUGACUUUUUGAGUGCAAUAGAGAAGAGGGAACUUAGAAGGGAGUAGAGAUCAAUGGCAGAAGCUCAUAGCAGUAUCAGAGGACCAAGAUGGUCUCUCAAUGGAAAGACAGCUCUUGUCACUGGUGGCACUCGUGGAAUUGGGUUCUCAUUCUAUCCUGCUCACUCAAACUUCCAUUUUGCUACAUGUAUGCUAAUUUAGUUUAUUCUGAUUGAUCCAUUUGAAACAAACUGUGUUUAGGCAUGCCAUAGUGAAUGAUCUAGCGGCGUUUGGUGCUGCUGUGGACACUUGUUCCAGGACAGAAUCCGAGCUCAAUACGUGCUUGCAAGAAUGGCAAAGUCAGGGCUUUUUGGUUACUGGGUCAGUCUGUGAUGUUACAUCUAGACCCCAAAGAGAGAAGCUCAUGCAGGAAGUAGCCUCCACCUUCAAUGGCAAGCUCAACAUCUAUGUAACUAUUCAAUAAUGCUAACCAUAUAAAGGGGAUGGACAAAGCCAUUACAAUUAGACUGUGUAAUAGAUCUAUGCAGAAGAGUGUGAAUUAGACAUUUUGAUUCUUGUUUCAUAUUCUGUGUAUAACUUUUUUGGCACUAUCAUGUAGUCAUGCAUAUUAUUGUCACAUAAUUGGAAAAAAAUUGAAUUAACAUAUGACAUUGUGCUUUAGAUA
rnacentral:lncRNA from 1 species